rnacentral:hammerhead_ribozyme from 1 species
AUCGUCCCAAAUAGGACGAAACGCGCGUCCUGCAU